rnacentral:rRNA from 1 species
GUGCGAAGGUAGCAUAAUCAUUAGUCUUUUAAUUGAAGGCUUGUAUGAAUGGUUGGACAAAAAGUUAACUGUCUCAAUUAUAAAAAUUGAAUUUAACUUUUAAGUGAAAAGGCUUAAAUAUACUGAGGGGACGAUAAGACCCUAUAAAGCUUUACAAUAAAUUAAUUAAAUUAUAAAUUAUAAGUUUAACUUAAUUUAAUUAGUAUUUGUUUCGUUGGGGCGACGAGAAUAUAAUUAUAUAACUGUUCUUUUAUUGUUAUAACAAAUUUAAUUGGGUGAAAAUUGAUCCUUUUAUAAAGAUUAAAAGAUUAAGUUACUUUAGGGAUAACAGCGUAAUCUUCUUUGAGAGUCCAUAUCGACAAGAAGGGUUGCGACCCCGAU